rnacentral:rRNA from 1 species
CCUACGGGAGGCAGCAGUGGGGAAUAUUGCACAAUGGGGGAAACCCUGAUGCAGCGACGCCGCGUGAGCGAGGAAGUUUUUCGGUAUGUAAAGCCCUGUCAGCAGGGAAGAAGAAUGCCGGUACCUGAAGAAGAAGCACCGGCUAAACACGUCCAAGCACCCCCGGGAAUACGUAUGGGGCAAGGGUUAUCCGGAUUUACGGGGUGUAAAGGGAGCGCAGGGGGUUCUGCAAGUCUGAUGUGAAAGCCCGGGGCUCAACCGCGGGACUGCAUUGGAAACUGCGGGACUGGAGUGUGGGAGGGGUAGGUGGAAUUCUUGGUGUAGCGGUGAAAUGCGUAGAUAUCAGGAGGAACACCGAUGGCGAAGGCGGCCUACUGGACGAUGACUGACGCUGAGGCUCGAAAGCGUGGGGAGCAAACAGGAUUAGAUACCCUUGUAGUC